rnacentral:rRNA from 1 species
UGCCAGCAGCCGCGGUAAUACGUAGGUCCCGAGCGUUGUCCGGAUUUAUUGGGCGUAAAGCGAGCGCAGGCGGUUUGAUAAGUCUGAAGUAAAAGGCAUUGGCUCAACCAAUGUAUGCUUUGGAAACUGUUAGACUUGAGUGCAGAAGGGGAGAGUGGAAUUCCAUGUGUAGCGGUGAAAUGCGUAGAUAUAUGGAGGAACACCGGUGGCGAAAGCGGCUCUCUGGUCUGUCACUGACGCUGAGGCUCGAAAGCGUGGGUAGCGAACAGGAUUAGAUA